rnacentral:rRNA from 1 species
AUGGCCGAAUGCUUCAAUUGGGUGCUCAAAGGUGCACGUGGAUUACCCGCGACGGCAAUAGUUCAAUACACAUUUGACAAGAUGAAUGCGUACUUUCUAAAGUACUCGAUGGAAACUGAUGCAUAGAUAGCGGGUGAGAACCCGCGCAAGUACAAGUACAAGUUCCCACCCAAGAUUGAUGAAUGGUUAGAAUUUCAAUCACGAAAGGCGGACUCAGACGAAGCUAUAUUAUAUGACAACGAAGAGUGGAAGUAUGAAGUGAAAGAGUUAGGAGGAACCACAAACGAUGGCCAGCAACAUGGAGGUCGGGCUUUCAAGGUGUCGUUAACACAAUGUGAUUGCUCUUGCGGGAGGCCAUUGCUACUUCAUCUCUCAUGCUCACACUUGUAUACCGCCGGUCACGUUAGAAAUGUGGACAUCAAUCACCCACGCACCGUGAGGGAGUUGGAGUUCUCAAUCAUGACGGUCAAGAAAACAUGGGCUCCCCGCUUUCACCCAUACUUUGACCAAUCACAAUGGCCGGAGUACCAUGGAGUUCAACUAUGGACGGAUCCGGAGUUGAAGGUUGUUGCACUGCUCAGUGUGGCGUCUCCGGACUAG